AUGAGCUUUGACGGCCGUCGCGAGGAGCUCACGUCGUCGAGGAGGGUGGCGGCCAAGGACGUGCCCGGCGACAUCGACGCCUUCAGACGGGCCGCCAAGAACACCAUCGAUGCCUUUGCAUGGGCGGAGCUGCAAUAUGGAUCAAUUGGUUGGUCGGUCGGGGCUACUCUGGGAUAUGCGCAGGCUGCUAAGGAUAAGCGAGUCAUUUCCCUCAUUGGAGAUGGCAGCUUUCAGGUGACGUCACAAGAAGUGUCGACGAUGCUCCGGUGGGGACAGAACAACAUCAUCUUCCUCAUAAACAACGGGGGUUACACCAUCGAGGUGAAGAUCCACGACGGUCCUUACAAUGUCAUCAAGAAUUGGAACUACACCGGCUUGGUGAAAGCAUUCCAUAAUGGCGAGGGAAAAUGCUGUACUGCAAAGGUUCAAACGGAGGAGGAACUGGAGGAGGCAAUUGAGGCAUCCCUAGGACCUCACAAGGACAGCCAGUGCUUUAUAGAGGUAAUUGUGCACAAGGAUGACACUAGUAAGGAGCUUCUUGUGUGGGGAGCUAGGCUUUUCGCCGCAAAUAACCGCCCGCCGAAUCCUCAGUGA
rnacentral:rRNA from 1 species